UAUUAAUGCUACGGACAAUCCUUUGCGUCCUUUUUAUUACUUUAUUGGACCGUUAGCAGACAGACCGUUAUGGGCUGGACCGCCUUGACCAAAAUUUCGAUCCAGGAUUUAAAAUGGCGUCGGUUGGAUGAUUUCGGUUAAGGUUGGAACAAGUUGUUUUCUUCUGGACAUGGAAAACUACAUGAAUGAAGGAAAGGAUGCACGUUUGCCAUUCUUAAAAAAGUGGUCCACCUUUGUUCAGACUUCCUGUUCUGCAAGUUCAGUGACUAUAUGCCGCAUUGGGGUGAUACCUUAAAUGAGUCUGCUGUUGAUAUGAACAACAUGGAUCUUUCUGACGAUGGUGAAGUGGAGAUGGUGGCGACAGAAGAUGACACUGCAAGUUAAGCCUAGGAGGAAUCCACACCAGGGAAGCUCUCAAAAGUCUGCUAAGAAGAGGACAUAGCAAGCUGUCCACCAUUAAAGAGAACUUAUAUUCACUGCUGUCUACAGCUAAAGCAUUGAUGAUGGGGUGGCAACACAAUACUGUUCAUCAGGGAAAGCAGAAGCGUAUCACCUUUGUUAGGGCUGUUUUUGACCUGAUUUUAUAGCCGAAAUCGGCUAUAUUCCCAAUAGCAAAAAGUAUACUUUUUUCCCAAAAUUUGCUAAAAAAAUUCUUAAUAGCCUUAUAGGGGAAAAAACGCUAAUGACAUCGGCUGUUUCGCUUUUUAACAAAGCGUAGUCCGAUCCUGUUUCGUACAGAUUUUAGACUAUACCUUGAUUUGGAUAAAGUCGGCAUAAUUCGUGUACAAGAUAUUCUCAAUUUUGUACAGGCGCUUAUUAUAUUUGCAAUUAAAUUUAAGCGUUUUGUGAUUUGGCUGCAUGGAAAACAAAUAUGUCGCACAAUUAGAAAUAUAACGUGAAAAAGAUUCCUAAGCAAAACCUUGGCGGCAAAACGAAAACUGUUGAUUUUAUUGAGCAAUCGUCAUUAUAUAAACAAACAUCAUCAAGAGGUACAAGUCUUCCAAUUGAAACUCAUUCCAUUGUUAAUGAUAGUGAUUUAAUAACAAGUGACUCUUUUGCAUCAUCAUCUUUGAUUUCCGAAAGCAAAGCGCUGACUGAUAUUCAACAUGUUGAAAGCAGCAGUUCUUCAGAAGAAGAUGAAGCGCCUCCUUAUAAAUGGUGCCUGAUGUGACUGAUGACUUUGUGUGAGCUUAUUAUGUGGAAAACUGUUGAUCAAGGUUGAUCAUGAUGGUGUUUGUGAUUACAUGUAAAGAUGCUGAACUCAUUCAUGUAGUUAUAAAUCCCAACUUAUUUUCCCAAUGUCUUGAAAAUGCCGAUAAAAUUCCCAAUUUCAAAGCCAUGGGCUAUCUUCCCUAAAAAGCUGAACAAAGCACUAUUUGUUGACAAAGUGAGAUUCGACAGGUAAGGCCUGCCAUGCCACUUGCCCCUGCAGACAUGUUAUGAUUCUAACAACAAAGUGCAUUUCAUUUGGUGGAGGUAGAUAUUUUGUGUACUGUAAACUUUUAAUCAUUGUUAGAGAGGCUGUUUUCGGAGAAAACCCGAGGCAUUGUAAUAGCCUGCUCGCCGUCCGCCGCUGUCGUGCUAAAACCUUUACAUUGGCUCUAAAAUCGAAGCGCGUCCACCAACAACUUUGAAACUUCAUAUGUAGAUGCACCUUCAUGAGUUCUACAUGUCACACCCAUUUUGGGUUACUAGGUCAAAGGUCAAGGUCACUGUGACUUAAAAAAAAAAAUCUGACAAGCUUUCGCAGCCGAGCGUGUCACCUGUUAUGCGGUGCUCUUGUUUUUUUAUAAAUAGUGGUUUGAUAUUUUAUAAAUGUCAUUUUUACUAGCUUGAUCUUUUCUGUCCUAUUGUAUUUAAAGUUCAAGUUUGGACAGUUUUUAUUUGAUUGGUUUUAGUUUUUAUGCCCCCGAAGAAGGGCAUAUAGUAAUUGGACUGUCCGUCCGUCCGUCUGUCCGUCACACUUUGCGUUUAGGUUUCGAAAAAUGCUCAUAACUUCUAUGUCCCUUGAGAUGCAACCUUCAUAUUUGGUAUAUAUGGACAAGGCCUUUCUUAACGCACACACAUUUUGACCCCUUUGACCUUGAACUCUGCAUUUAGGUUUCCAAAUCUGGUUUAGUUUUCGAAAAAUACUCAUAACUUUUAUGUCGCUUCAGAUGUAACCUUCAUAUUUGCUAUGCAUGUGUAUAUGGACAAGGCCUUUUCAUGUGCACACAAAUUUUGACCCCCUUGACCUUGAACUUAGGCAAUAGGAUUCGCGUUUAGGUUUCAAAAAUGCUCGUAACUUCUAUCAAAGCGUUUUUCGGGGGCAUAUGUCAUCCUAUGGAGACAGCUUUGUUUAUUUCCUAUAAUAUGUUUGAGUAGUCAGGAGAAACAAUGAAGUUUUGUCCAUACUAUAUAUAUUAAAAUUGUGGCAGAAUUGUUUAUUAAUGCAAUUACAAAUUGCAGCAAAUGCAUCUGUUAAAGAACUUAGGAUGCUUAUAAUUGAUGUAAAGAUUGUUUUAUUUAAAUAUUGCAUUUUUAAAAUGACUUCACAUGUGUAAAAAAAUGUAUUGUAUUUAAUUUUUAGAACUAAUUUAAGUUAGUCAUAAAAAAUGAAUCAUUCACACUAUUUCAUAUAUUUCUAACCUACUGACUGGUGGAUUGAGUACAUAAUAGUUGGAAUUUCACUACUUGAAGGUUUGCACAUCUUUUUUAGCUCGACUAUUAUAUAUGAAAUACAUAUAGUGGAGCUAUCCUACUUGCGUCGGCUUUUCCGUUACCGUUAGCGUGCAAAUGUUAAAGUUUUCGUACUACCCCAAUUAUUUUCCUUGUCCCUUGACAUAUUGCUUUCAUAUUUUGCAUACUUGUUUACCAACUUGACCCCAACAUAUAAACAAGAUAAGACAACUCUAUCAAGCAUUUUGUCAUAAUUAUGGCCCCUUUUACACUUAGAAUAUGCAGCAAAUGUUAAAGUUUGCGUACUACCCCAAAUAUUUUCAUUGUCCCUUGACAUAUUGCUUUCAUAUUUUGCAUACUUGUUUACCAUCAUGACCCCAACAAGAGCAAACAACUGUAUCAAGCAUUUUGACAGAAUUAUUGCCCCUUUUAUACUUAGAAUAUGCAUAUAAUGGAUAAAUCUAUGUUAAAGUUUGCGUACUACCCCAAAUAUUUCCUAUAACCUUUGACAUAUUGCUUUUUUAUUUUGCAUACUUGUUUACCAACAUGACCCCAACCAAUAAACAAGAGCAGACCACUGUAUCAAGCAUUUUGGCAUAAUUACGGCCCCUUUUACACUUAGAUAAAACAACAUUUUGCUUAAAUUGCCAUAACUUCUUUAUUUAUGAUCACAUUUUAUUAUUACUUUGACAAAACAACACUUACCUGAAUACCACAAUGGAUUCCACUGAAACAAUACCCCACGCCCCUACCCAGAAUCCCUCCCCCCCAACUCCC